UGUUAAAAAUUUCAUCAAUUUGUACUAUUAAAAUCUAACGUGGCUAAUGGAAUAAUCAUCCAAUGACACGUGGUAUGCUAUGUGUACCUAUGUACAAAGAUCAAUUUUUAAUAGUAGAAAUAGAAGGAACUUUUAACA
rfam:Gossypium raimondii Chr01_contig_266, whole genome shotgun sequence.